UACGUAGGGGGCAAGCGUUAUCCGGAUUUACUGGGUGUAAAGGGAGCGUAGACGGCUUUGCAAGCCAGAUGUGAAAGCCCGGGGCUCAACCCCGGGACUGCAUUUGGAACUGUGUGGCUAGAGUGUCGGAGAGGCAGGCGGAAUUCCUAGUGUAGCGGUGAAAUGCGUAGAUAUUAGGAGGAACACCAGUGGCGAAGGCGGCCUGCUGGACGAUGACUGACGCUGAGGCUCGAAAGCGUGGGGAGCAAACAGG
rnacentral:rRNA from 1 species